CAGCCGCCGCGGGAAUACGUAGGUGGCAAGCGUUGUCCGGAAUUAUUGGGCGUAAAGGGCUCGCGGGCGGUUUCUUAAGUCUGAUGUGAAAGCCCCCGGCUCAACCGGGGAGGGUCAUUGGAAACUGGGAAACUUGAGUGCAGAAGAGGAGAGUGGAAUUCCACGUGUAGCGGUGGAAUGCGUAGAGAUGUGGAGGAACACCAGUGGCGAAGGCGACUCUCUGGUCUGUAACUGACGCUGAGGAGCGAAAGCGUGGGGAGCGAAUAGGAUUAGAUACCCCUGUAGUCCCUGUCUCUUAUAC
rnacentral:rRNA from 1 species